ensembl:lncRNA
GAUGUGUCAGCCUCUGAGGAUCCCCGCAGGAGGCUGCCUACGGAUGGAGGGGAUGGCCUGGGGACAAGCCAGUCCAGUCGCCCUGAGUUUCGAGGGGUCUGUAUCACUCAGCACAGCCGUGAUCCGCUCGCUGUGUACCAGGGUGUUUCGGCACCUCGGUUCGUGAGCCGUCGUGUGGAUAAUGUUGGAAAAGGACAUCCCUGCGUCCCGUUCCCCGUGCCAUGUAUGUGCCUGACUGAGAUGCUCUGGGAAGAGCCCGACUGUGACCAGGAGACCCUGAAAUUCUGCACUUCCAGCAAAGAGUUGGGACGUGGCUGUGCUCGCUGCGGCAGCACCUGUACCAGAAAAAGGAAGUCGAAACAUUUCUUCUCUCAAGUGUUGGCUCCCACUCCUUUCUCAUCCACAACGGAAUGCCAUCUCAUGUAAAAUGUGGAAAUAUAAGGUAGACGCAGGAAGACCAGACACAGGUAGAUGAUGACUCUGUUAACACAGAAUU